AAUAACCAAUAUGAUACUUGGGCUAGCGUCAAGUUGGGAUUUUCUUACAUCUCUCCUCCCGGAGCCAGUAUCAUAUACGCCCCAAAUAAGAGCUUGAUACUAGAAGAAAGCACUAGACUAACAAGAUUAAUGAAUACCUAAAUUGUGGUCAUUUUAUUUCUAUUUUCCA
rnacentral:antisense_RNA from 2 species